rnacentral:rRNA from 1 species
GGAGCUGAUAUCAGGCUCGCCCAAGACAUCUAGCUAUGCCACACCCCCAAGGGUCUUCAGCAGUGAUUAACAUUAAAAAUAAACGCAAGUUUGAUUUAGUUAACGAGAAUAGAGCCGGCCAAUCUGGUGCCAGCUGCCGCGGUUACACCAUAUGGCUCAAAUUGAUUCGGCGUAAAGUGUGACUGAAGUAGGGUUGAACUUCAACUAAGUUGUAAUAUGCUUGUUCUAUGUAAAUUCAUACCCGAAAGAUACCCUAUUAUACCUUAACUUAAACUCACGACAACUGGGACACAAACUGGGAUUAGAUACCCCACUAUGCCCAGUCAUAAACUUUAACUUACACCGCCUGGGAACUACGAGCAAAGCUUAAAACCCAAAAGACUUGACGGUGCCCCACAUCCCCCUAGAGGAGCCUGUCCUAUAAUCGAUAACCCCCGUUCAACCUCACCACUUUUAGCAGCUUGUAUACUUCCGUCGUCAGCUUACCGCAUGAGCGAGUAAGCCUAACGCCAAUACGUCAGGUCAAAGUGUAGCUGAUAAAGUGGGAAGAGAUGGGCUACACUCUCUAUUGUAGAGAAAACAAAAAAUUAUAUGAAAUAGAAGGUGGAUUUAGUAGUAAAAAGAGAAUAGAGUACCCUUUUUAACCUGCACUGAGGCGUGUACACACCGCCCGUCACCCUCUUC